UACUUACUCGCCAGGCGCCUCUGUGGAUGCCACUCCACAGCCUCGUGUGUUAAGAGGUGCAGAAGAGCUGCCUGAUUGGCUCCCAAGCUGAGAACCAGGAGCCCGGGGGAAGUCAUGGCGAAAUCUCAACCUGAUGUGGGCCUGUCAGCAUCAGACACAUGCUCAGAGCAAAACAGCCUGCUCUUCAGUGCGUUUAGUUUAGUUCCAUUGUCCUGCCCCCCUCCUCCCACCCCUCCCACCACUGAGGACUGGUAUUCAAAAGCACAGCUUCUUUCCUUUCUUCUCCUCGGGACUCAGCAGCACAGACAGUGGGGCUGCCACCUCUUUCUGCCCAGUCCACCAUGGCUAGGGACGGAUUCUCUCCGCUCUACACAGAAUUCAAGAACUAUAUUUGGAUCUGCUUCACAACAGUAAUCCCCACAGCCUUAAAACAUGCAAAAUAAAAAUAAGUUAAUCGCCCCUCAGCA